GACAGAGGGUGCAAACGUUGUUCGGAAUUACUGGGCGUAAAGCGAGUGUAGGCGGUCUCAUAAGUCAGGUGUGAAAGCCCCGGGCUCAACCCGGGAAGUGCACUUGAAACUGCGAGGCUAGAGUAUCGGAGAGGUUGGUGGAAUUCCCGGUGUAGUGGUGAUAUGCGUAGAUAUCGGGAGGAACACCUGUGGCGAAGGCGGCUUUCUGGGCCUUACCUGACGCUGAGACGCGAAAGCGUGGGGAGCGAACCGG
rnacentral:rRNA from 1 species